UCACGUGGCCUAGUGGAUAAGGUGAUUGACUCGAGAUCAAAAGGUCACUGGUUCUAUUCCAAGCUCCGGUGGG